rnacentral:rRNA from 1 species
ACAUUGGUGGCGACCGGCGCACGGGUGAGUAACGCGUAUGCAACCUACCUAUCAGAGGGGAAUAACCCGGCGAAAGUCGGACUAAUACCGCAUAAAACAGGGGUUCCACAUGGAAAUAUUUGUUAAAGAAUUAUCGCUGAUAGAUGGGCAUGCGUUCCAUUAGAUAGUUGGUGAGGUAACGGCUCACCAAGUCCACGAUGGAUAGGGGUUCUGAGAGGAAGGUCCCCCACACUGGUACUGAGACACGGACCAGACUCCUACGGGAGGCAGCAGUGAGGAAUAUUGGUCAAUGGGCGAGAGCCUGAACCAGCCAAGUCGCGUGAAGGAUGAAGGAUCUAUGGUUUGUAAACUUCUUUUAUAUGGGAAUAAAGUGAGGAACGUGUUCCUUUUUGUAUGUACCAUAUGAAUAAGCAUCGGCUAACUCCGUGCCAGCAGCCGCGGUAAUACGGAGGAUGCGAGCGUUAUCCGGAUUUAUUGGGUUUAAAGGGUGCGUAGGUGGUUAAUUAAGUCAGCGGUGAAAGUUUGUGGCUCAACCAUAAAAUUGCCGUUGAAACUGGUUGACUUGAGUAUAUUUGAGGUAGGCGGAAUGCGUGGUGUAGCGGUGAAAUGCAUAGAUAUCACGCAGAACUCCGAUUGCGAAGGCAGCUUACU